UGGGGAAUAUUGCACAAUGGGCGCAAGCCUGAUGCAGCCAUGCCGCGUGUAUGAAGAAGGCCUUCGGGUUGUAAAGUACUUUCAGCGGGGAGGAAGGCGAUAAGGUUAAUAACCUUGUCGAUUGACGUUACCCGCAGAAGAAGCACCGGCUAACUCCGUGCCAGCAGCCGCGGUAAUACGGAGGGUGCAAGCGUUAAUCGGAAUUACUGGGCGUAAAGCGCACGCAGGCGGUCUGUCAAGUCGGAUGUGAAAUCCCCGGGCUCAACCUGGGAACUGCAUUCGAAACUGGCAGGCUAGAGUCUUGUAGAGGGGAGUAGAAUUCCAGGUGUAGCGGUGAAAUGCGUAGAGAUCUGGAGGAAUACCGGUGGCGAAGGCGGCCCCCUGGACAAAGACUGACGCUCAGGUGCGAAAGCGUGGGGAGCAAACA
rnacentral:rRNA from 1 species